UGGGCUAUGGAGGUGAUUCAACUUUCAGAGGCUUCCUCGUAAAUUUUUGAAAUUUUUUAGACACAGAUAAACUUCGGGUGAUCGAGGUCGGCUAUUUUUCUGCAUCCAGCAACCACAAUAGUCAUCGGUGUACUGCCACAGGAGGAGUUAUUUUACAGAGCAACCUAUUUUCUUCCUCGCAGGUUUAACGUAGAUUAUUUAAUUAUUUUACUAUCUUUUCAAAAUUUAAAAUCUAGAACUCCGCAUGUGUUAGUAAUAGUGUGGACCUUGAUAGAAAUUGUGUUAAUUUAAAUUUUUGAAAUUAAUAAAUAAAGAUUUGUAUGGUAUUUAAACA